CCCUUAGAUGUUCUGGGCCGCACGCGCGCUACACUGACGAAGUCAGCGAGCAUGUCCUACGUCGAUAGGUGCGGGGAAUCUUGUGAAACUUCGUCGUGCUGGGGAUUGAUUAUUGAAAUUAUUGAUCAUCAACGAGGAAUUCCUAGUAAGCGCAAGUCAGCAGCUUGCGUUGAUUACGUCCCUGCCCUUUGUACACACCGCCCGUCGCUACUACCGAUUGAAUGGUUUAGUGAGAUCUUCGGAUUGGUGCCACCGAGUCCAGCAAUGGACACGGUGAAUAUCGAAAAGUCGAUCAAACUUGAUCAUUUAGAGGAAGUAAAAGUCGUAACA
rnacentral:rRNA from 1 species